UAGAAGAAGAUACUUUUCUUAGUGACGUGAAAAUAUGCCUUUUCACAUUUUCUAACUAUAAAAAUUUCGAUCAAUGUCUAAGACUCUAAGUGCUUAGAACACAGUUCACAAUCUUCUUUAGAAUCUAAAAUCAUAAGCCACUUCUAAUCUUUUUCAGAUUAAGCGCACACAAACUUGAAACAAUGCAUGCAAGAAAAUUCUACCAAAGCUAAGUUUACAAAAGCUACUCUUUACCAAAGAAUAGUGUUUAGGGUUUAAGAAACCUACAAUUCUAAGUUUAACAAAGCUACUUCUAAAUAAAUAAAAAAUCUACUCUCUAUCAAAGAAGUUUUUUAAAAAAAAUUUUUGCUAAGUAUAUGAAUUUCAUUACUAGAAUGAUCAAGUUGCAUCAAUUAUUAGAAGUUUAAAAAUCAGGAACCCUUCUUGGCAAAAAAAGAUAAACCCUAAGC
rnacentral:lncRNA from 1 species